AACGAACGCUGGCGGCAUGCCUAACACAUGCAAGUCGAACGAGACCUUCGGGUCUAGUGUCGCACGGGUGCGUAACGCGUGGGAACCUUCCCUUAGGUUCGGCAUAACUCCCCGACAGGGGUGCUAAUACCGAAUAAUAUCUUCGAACCAAAGAUUUAUCGCCUUUGGUUGGGCCCUCGUUGGAUUCGCUAGUUGGUAGGGUAAAAGCCUACCAAGGCGACGAUCCAUAGCUGGUAUGAGAGGAUGAUCAGCCACACUGGGACUGAGACACGGCCCAGACUCCUACGGGAGGCAGCAGUGGGGAAUAUUGGACAAUGGGCGAAAGCCUGAUCCAGCAAUGCCGCGUGAGUGAUGAAGGCCUUAGGGUUGUAAAGCUCUUUUACCCGGGAUGAUAAUGACAGUACCGGGAGAAUAAGCUCCGGCUAACUCCGUG
rnacentral:rRNA from 1 species